ncrna:unclassified sequences DTF805b RNA
AAGGCGAAACCGAAAAGCCUGAAUAGAAUAGGAA